ACAAAGGUGGGGGUGGGAGGGAGGGAAUCUAUUCAUUCCAUCUGUCAGAUAUAAUUUAUCUUGCCUUACCAAUGGAUGUUUUGGAGCAAAUACUAAGUGCAGAAGCUAAAACCUACCAUCAUUAUUGUAACUGGUCCUUCCAUCAGCCCAAUGGUGCUAUUUUACAUAACAAUACAACUAAAAGGAAGCUGUUCUGUUGGGCUGCAGUGUUUCCCCCAUAUCUGAAGGAAGCCCAUGUUGAAAUUAGAUAUAACAUUCAAACAAAGGAGAAAGUAUUAACUGUGCAAUUCUUUGAGAUUGGGCAUUUGUACAUUUUUAGUUUUACCUAAUUGUCUUUCAUUAACAAUUUACUGUUUGUGAGUAAUGUGUGCUUAACAAACUAAGGAAACUAAUUAUCUGUGAAAGACUUUGUAUAUUAAACAAAUGCUCCAAACCUUG
rnacentral:lncRNA from 1 species